rnacentral:rRNA from 1 species
CGGAGGGUGCGAGCGUUGUCCGGAAUCACUGGGCGUAAAGGGCGCGUAGGUGGCUCGGCAAGCGUGCGGUGAAAGUUCGGGGCUCAACCCCGAAUCGGCCGUGGCGAACUGCCAAGCUUGAGCACUGUAGAGGCAGAUGGAAUUCCGGGUGUAGCGGUGGAAUGCGUAGAGAUCCGGAAGAACACCGGUGGCGAAGGCGGUCUGCUGGGCAGUUGCUGACACUGAGGCGCGACAGCGUGGGGAGCAAACAGGAUUAGAUACCCUGGUAGUCCACGCCGUAAACGAUGGGCACUAGAUGCUUGGGGGAGCGACCCCCUGAGUGUCGGCGCUAACGCAUUAAGUGCCCCGCCUGGGGAGUACGGCCGCAAGGCUG